GGAGUCUGGGCCGUGUCUCAGUCCCAAUGUGACCGGUCAUCCUCUCAGAACCCCUACUGAUCGUUGCCCCGGUGGGCCGUUACCCCGCCGGCAAGCUAAUCAGACGCAUCCCCAUCCCUUACCGACGAAUCUUUGCUCCUCGUUAGAUGCCUGCUAAGGAGAACAUAGAGUAUUAAUCCGACUUUCGCCGGGCUAUCCUCUAGUAAGGGGAAGGUUGGAUACGCGUUACUCACCCGUGCGCCGGUCGCCAUCAAAGGAAGCAAGCUUCCUUCAUGCUGCCCCACGACUUGCAUGUGUUAAGCCUGUAGCUAGCGUUCAUC
rnacentral:rRNA from 1 species